AUCACUUGUCCUUUAAAUGAGGACCUGUAUGAAUGGCUAGACGAGGGCUUAGCUGUCUCCUCCCCCCAGUCAAUGAAAUUGAUCUCCCCGUGCAGAAGCGGGGAUACUACCAUAAGACGAGAAGACCCUAUGGAGCUUUAGACACUAGACAGCCUACGUUAAACUUCCACUCCGAAGUGGAAAAAACAUUGUAGCUCCUGUCUCUCCUGUCUUCGGUUGGGGCGACCGCGGAGGAUAAAAAAGCCUCCAUGUGGACCGAGGCUACUAGCCUCACAACUAAGAGCUGCAGCUCCAAGCAACAGAAAUUCUGACCAGUGUGAUCCGGCAUAAUGCCGAUUAACGGAACAAGUUACCCUAGGGAUAACAGCGCAAUC
rnacentral:rRNA from 1 species